rnacentral:rRNA from 1 species
UGGGGAAUCUUGGACAAUGGGGGCAACCCUGAUCCAGCCAUGCCGCGUGAGUGAUGAAGGCCUUAGGGUCGUAAAGCUCUUUCAACGGUGAAGAUAAUGACGGUAACCGUAGAAGAAGCCCCGGCUAACUCCGUGCCAGCAGCCGCGGUAAUACGGAGGGGGUUAGCGUUGUUCGGAAUUACUGGGCGUAAAGCGCGCGUAGGCGGACUGAUCAGUCAGGGGUGAAAUCCCGGGGCUCAACCCCGGAACUGCCUUUGAUACUGUCAGUCUUGAGUCCGGAAGAGGCGAGUGGAAUACCGAGUGUAGAGGUGAAAUUCGUAGAUAUUUUGGGAGGAACACCAGUGGCGAAGGCGGCUCACUGGCUCGAUACUGACGCUGAGGUGCGAAAGUGUGGGGAGCAAACAGGAUUAGAUACCCUGGUAGUCCACACCGUAAAACGAUGAAUGCCAGUCGUCGGGUAGCAUGCUAUUCGGUGACACACCUAACGGAUUAAGCAUUCCGCCUGGGAGUACGGUCGCAAGAUUAAAAGCUCAAAUGAAUUGACGG